AGCAAGUAGGGAGAUGAAUUAUUCAUAUCCUCGGAAUCCAUUCUCCCAAACAUGUGCAAAAAAGAAAUUGGGUUUUCCUCCUGAAAUGGGGCUGUUUCACCUGAGGGGCCAUGAGUCUGAGAAAUGUGACUUUGCAGAGGCAGACAUCACAGGCUUCCUCCAUGGGCUGAGCUGUUCGAGAGAAAGGCAGCCACGGAGGACGGCCUGGCAGCUGCAGACGCUGAAGCUACAGGACAGACCGCUGUCAAGUCUCUUGCCCUGAGACGUGCGGGCCUGGCAAAGUCUGAGAGCGAGGACGACAAGCUGCAAGCCCCCGGGUAUGGCCCUGCCACCUUUCUGCCUCCUACUUUUCUCCUCUGUAAAGCGAGCCCCUGAACUCAUGUGCAUCAACAAGGUGGGGGCUCCCAAGCGCUCUGUGACUCUAAGCUGGAAAGUUCCUGGUGAUCCUCUGGAGAUGAAGGUCAGCUUGCACCCAGAGCAGGGAGGACUCCCUGGGAACAACCUGAAGACAGAGUUACUGAAGUCAGGAGCACUGGAAUGAAUAUCCUGGAGAGCUGGGAGACUCGAAGCUGCAAGCUCCCAGCCUGACAAAGCUGUCCCUGGGCAAAGCGCCUGGAGGGUGAAGGUCGAGACCCCAAGUAGCAACAUGGCCUACACAAUCCAGCAUUCCACCUGCUCCUGCCAGUCUACCUGGGGAGGGGCCCUUCUACAGACCAAGCUCAGCUGAGCCCUGUGGCCUACUGGCCAGCCGGGUGGCUUCAGAAACGCAGCAGCCCCAGCACACACCACCUGGAACUCCUCUUCUGCCUGCUCUGCAGCUCCCCCGUGGUCUCCACCCCAUCACUUCCCAGCAGUCUCUAAGUGUACACGGUGCCCACAAGAAGGACGCCAACCUAUCCACUGCCCCCAACACCCUUGCUGCAGGGUCCCGUCUCAGAACCCCAGAAGCAAAGCUUUGAGGAUCCAAUCCAGAAUGACAAUGAUGAGGAUGAUGAAGGCAGCC